rnacentral:rRNA from 1 species
ACAGAGGCCUCGAGCGUUAGGCGGAAUCACUGGGCUUAAAGCGCGUGUAGGCGGAUCGUUAAGUGUCUUGUGAAAUCCCCCGGCUCAACCGUGGAACUGCUGGGCAUACUGGCGAUCUUGGGCCACUCAGGGGCGACCGGAACAAGCGGUGGAGCGGUGAAAUGCGUAGAUAUCGCUUGGAACGCCAAAGGUGAAGACAGGUCGCUGGGGGUGUGCCGACGCUGAGACGCGAAAGCCAGGGGAGCAAACGGGA